UGUUCACGAAACCGUGUGUAUUGUGUAGCGCUGCAGAUCUGUAAUGGGUUUGGAGACACACACAGGAGGGAUUGUUAUUGGUUUGAUGCUUUGCAUUUAUUGAUUUAAUACGUUGUAGCGAGACAUCUAAUCUGUGUGUGUGCGCGCAGGAGCUCAACAGUAUGAAACCCAAAGCCAGCUUCAGAUUCUGGUUGACUGCUGAGGUUCAUGUGAAGUUCACUCCUGUACUGCUCCAGUCCAGCCUGAAGGUCACCUAUGAGGGUUGGACGAAGUUCUACGAGUUCUCUCUGUCAGACCUGAGAUCAUUGACCGUCUGUUUGAAGGUGAUCUCUCAGUUGAGGAUUCUGAGCAGGUCUGUAGCAGCCAGCUUCA
ensembl:lncRNA